AGUGACACCGGUGCUUUAAAAAAUGGCUUUGUAACACAGGCCACUUUUCUCUUGUAUUUGAAUGAGAUUUUCCGAUCAUUAUAGCCCCUCCCUUACAUAUCCCAAUGCAAAUCUAGGGUUUUCAGAGGGUAUAGGCCUACUACUGUCCUCCCACUGAAUUAUGGUUAGUGUGUAUCAGUACAAAUCUUCAGUCUUAAGAUGAUGGACAAACUGUGUGUUCUGCUGACAGCGCUCUGUCUGCCCAGUUUAAAUGGCCAGGCUCUGGAGUCCAUUCCCUCCAUUUCAGUGUUGAAAAAGCCUGAGGAGGCCAUCAGUCUUUCAUGCAGGGGAACUGGAUUUGAUUUCGGCAAUAGUGGAAUGCACUGGAUCAGACAACCUGCAGGAAAAACACUGGAAUGGAUGGGGCUUAUUUACUAUGAUGCCAGUAAAACACAGUAUGCAAGCAGUGUGCAAGGACGUAUAGAAAUCACCAGAGAUAAUAGCAACAGCAUGGUGUAUCUGAGACUGUCCAACCUAAAACUAGAGGACUCUGCUGUGUAUUACUGCGCUAGUGUCGCACACUGUUUAUUGUAAGCA